GUCUCAGUUCGGACUGUGGUCUGCAACCCGACCACACGAAGCUGGAAUCGCUAGUAAUCGUGAAUCAGAAUGUCACGGUGAAUACGUUCCCGGGUCUUGUACACACCGCCCGUCACACCAUGGGAGUCAGCAACGCCCGAAGUCAGUGACCUAACCGAGAGGGAGGAGCUGCCGAAGGCGGGGCCGGUAACUGGGGUGAAGUCGUAACAAGGUAAC
rnacentral:rRNA from 1 species